rnacentral:rRNA from 1 species
UACGGGGGGGGCUAGCGUUGUUCGGAAUUACUGGGCAUAAAGGGCGCGUAGGCGGCCUACUAAGUCGGACGUGAAAUCCCUCGGCUCAACCGGGGAACUGCGUCUGAUACUGGCGAGCUUGAGUGCAGGAGAGGAACGCGGAAUUCCAGGUGUAGCGGUGAAAUGCGUAGAUAUCUGGAGGAACACCGGUGGCGAAGGCGGCGUUCUGGACUGCAACUGACACUGAGAAACGAAAGCCAGGGUAGCAAACGGG